CGUGGGUAACCUGCCCAAGAGACUGGGAUAACACCUGGAAACAGAUGCUAAUACCGGAUAACAACACUAGACGCAUGUCUAGAGUUUAAAAGAUGGUUCUGCUAUCACUCUUGGAUGGACCUGCGGUGCAUUAGCUAGUUGGUAAGGUAGCGGCUUACCAAGGCAAUGAUGCAUAGCCGAGUUGAGAGACUGAUCGGCCACAUUGGGACUGAGACACGGCCCAAACUCCUACGGGAGGCAGCAG
rnacentral:rRNA from 1 species